AACCCUCUUCUCCGGGCACUUCCUUAUCAGCCAACGGGAGGCAGGCAGAUGGGGCUCAGGACUCUACAGCCUGGGUUCGCUUGUCCCUGAGGCCUCACAUCUGCCCUCUCCAGGUGUGGUGAGGCUGGGAUGCCCAGCAAUUCCCCCUGGUGACUGCGAAGACCCUGUCAUUCAAUAUGAUUCCCUGAACACACAGCAAACUGCUGCUCCAGUGGCCGCCUUGGAACCAGAACGGAGGAACCUCAUCUGUCCUGGAAACUGAGCGUCCUCGCCGGCUCCAGGUGAGUUGGUGUCUUUCUUUCUUGGAUCUGAGC
rnacentral:lncRNA from 1 species